rnacentral:rRNA from 1 species
ACGAACGCUGGCGGGCGUGCCUAAUGCAUGCAGUCGCACGCAGAGUGCUUGCACUCUGAGUGGCGCACGGCUGAGUAGCACGUGGGAACGUACCCCAGGUGGGGGAUAACCCGCCGAAAGGCGGGCUAAUCCCGCAUAGCUUCCGCGGAACAAAGCGAGCAAUCGCGCCUGGGGAGCGGCCCGCGGCCCAUCAGGUAGUCGGUGCGGUAACGGCGCACCGAGCCGAUGACGGGUAGCUGGUCUGUGAGGAUGACCAGCCAGACUGGGACUGAGAAACGGCCCAGACUCCUACGGGAGGCAGCAGCAAGGAAUUUUCGUCAAUGGGCGCAAGCCUGAACGAGCAACGCCGCGUGGAGGACGACGGCCUUCGGGUUGUAAACUCCUUUUGGGGGGAAGAGCCUGACGGUACCCCCCGAACAAGGCUCGGCUAACUCUGUGCCAGCAGCCGCGGUAAGACAGAGGAGCCAAGCGUUGUCCGGACUGACUGGGCGUAAAGCGCCCGCAGGCGGCCUGAUGCGUGGGGUGUGAAAGCUGGCGGCUUAACUGCCAGAGGCCAUCCCAUACGGUCGGGCUGGAGCCGCGCAGAGGCUGGUGGAAUUGCCGGUGUAGUGGUGAAAUGCGUAGAGAUCGGCAGAACACCGAGGGGGAAACCAGCCAGCUGGGCGCGUGCUGACGCUGAGGGGCGACAGCGUGGGGAGCGAACCGGAUUAGAUACCCGGGUAGUCCACGCUCUAAACGAUGGCCACUCGGCAUCUGGCUCCGUGACUUACGGAGGUGGGUGCCAAGCUAACGCGGAAGUGGCCCGCCUGGGAACUACGAGCGCAAGCUUAAGACUCAAAGAAUUGACGGGGGCCCGCACAAGCAGCGGAGCGUGUGGUUUAAUUCGACGCAACGCGCAGAACCUUACCCAGGUUGGAUAUGCAGCUGCAAGCUCCUGAAAGGGAGCCGCCUUCGAGGGUGCUGCACAGAUGCUGCAUGGCUGUCGUCAGCUCGUGUCGUGAGAUGUGGGUUAAGUCCCGCAACGAGCGCAACCCCUACGGUCAGUUACCCGUGUCUGGCCGGACUGCCCGUUUCGGGAGGAAGGCGGGGAUGACGUCAAGUCCGCAUGGCUCUUACGCCUGGGGCGACACACACGCUACAAUGGCACUCGCAGCGCGCAGCGACCCGGUAACGGGCCAGCAAAAUCGCCAAGGGGUGUCUCAGUGCAGAUCGGGGGCUGAAACCCGCCCCCGUGAAGGCGGAGUUGCUAGUAAACCGCGUAUCAGCCACGGCGCGGUGAAUACGUACCCGGGCCUGUACACACCGCCCGUCACGUCACUGGGAGUGGUCAAUGCUUGAAGACGGUGCGCUAACCGCAAGGAGGCAGCCGGCCACGGUAGGGUCAGCGACUGGGGUGAAGUCG